AUGAAGCAAAAAGCCACUCCACUGCAGGAGACAAGUGUGAUACUAUGAUGCAAUUCUCCAGAUGUGAAGAAGUACCUAGGAUCAAGGAGGCAAUUGCAAAUGGCACAGAAACCUAAACUGUUUAAAGUUCAAUUAGUGAUAAGAGAUGUGACUACUAAUGCCCCUGGAAGACCAAGAUGCUUUCUUUUUCUGUCCAUCGGGCAGCAUGGCUAAGAUGUGUCAAUAUGUAUCACUUCUGGAGAGAGAUCUUUGGAGCGAGAAGGCAAUUUGGGUUUUUGUUGUUUUUUAAAAAAACAAAACACUUGGACCCUGCAAUCAGUGGGAUAAGAAUGCAGGGCAUGCAGGUAUGAGAGACCGAAGUGCCGCUUGGAGCAUCUAAGAUUCAGAAACACGUCGUCUGCUCUUAAUGAUGACCUCACUUUUGCUCCUUUCUGGAAAUAGAAAGGAAGAAAGAAGUUCCUGCCACAUUCUCCAUUCAGACAUACGGAGAAAAAUCUGGAUGUAAACAAAAAUGCUUUUGUUUGAGAUUAGAAGCUAUUAUUAAAACUGCUGAACAUGGGUUAGAUUGAUAUUGUUGUGAAAGCACCAAUGAAGUAACACUUAUGAAAAAUUAUCAGCUGCAUAAUAUACUAAUUGAAGCAGAACAGUUUUUUA